GAUGAAGAACGUAGCGAAAUGCGAUAAGUAAUGUGAAUUGCAGAAUUCAGUGAAUCAUCGAAUCUUUGAACGCACCUUGCGCCCUUUGGCUAUUCCAGAGGGCAUGCCUGUUUGAGUAUCAUGAACACCUCAACUCUCAUGGUUCUGCCAUGAUGAGCUUGGACUUUGGAGGUCUUGCUGGCCCCUGUGGUCAGCUCCUCUCAAAUGGAUCAGCUUGCCAGUGUUUGGUGGCAUCACAGGUGUGAUAACUAUCUACGCUUGUGGUUCUCCACCAGGUAACCUUCAGUGAUGGAGGUUCGCUGGAGCUCAUAAACGUCUCUCCUCAGCGAGGACAGCUUCUUGAACGUUUGAUCUCAAAUCAGGUAGGGCUACCCGCUGAACUUAAGCAUAUCAAUAAGCGGAGGA
rnacentral:misc_RNA from 1 species